rnacentral:rRNA from 1 species
UUCUUUAUUGAUUUUUUAUAUAAAGUAUGACCUGCCCUAUGAAAUAUUAAAUGGCCGCGAUUUUUAUCGUGCUAAGGUAGCAUAAUAAUUUGUCUCUUAAUUAGGGUCUAGUAUGAAUGGUUGAACGAGGGGUUAACUUUUUUAAUCAAAUUUUUUUUAAUUUAAUUUUUUAGUCAAAAAGCUAAAAUAAAAUUAUGGGACGAUAAGACCCUGUAGAGUUUUAUUUACAUAGUUUUAUUUAUAUAGUAGGUUUUAUAUUGUUGGUAUAAUUAUGUAAAUUUGGUUGGGGUGACUGUUAUAUAAUUUUAACUAUAACUUUUAUAUUUCAUAGAUAUAUGAUUGAUUGACCCUGAAUUUUGGGUUAUAAGAACAAAUUACCUCAGGGAUAACAGCGUAAUUUCUUUGGGGAGUUCUUAUUUAUAAAGAAGAUUGCGA